GGAUCCCGCACUAGUCUGGAUCCUCCGACACCGGGAGCGCUCCUCCGCUGCCGGACAGCGAUGCUCAGAGUCCCGCGGAGCUGCAGACAUGGAUCCCCGUCAGAUGAUUCCGCUGCUGUGGAUUUUAUUCGUGAACCAGCUGGAGGUCUGCAGCAGUGAGGAAGUUGUGUUGCUGAACUCUAAAGAGACUCAGGCGGAGCUCGGCUGGACGUCGUAUCCCCCCAAUGGAUGGGAGGAGAUCAGCGGCGUGGAUGAGAAGUACAAACCCAUCCGGACCUACCAGGUGUGUAACGUCAUGGAGCCCACCCAGCAGAACAACUGGCUGCAGACCGGCUGGGUGGCGCGUCGCGGCGGCCAGCGCAUCUUCGUGGAGCUGCAGUUCACACUGCGUGACUGCAACAGCAUCCCCGGAGUAGCAGGAACCUGCAAGGAGACCUUCAACCUGCUGUACGUGGAGUCGGACCGGGACCUGGGGGCCGUGACCCGGGAGGACCGCUACACCAAGAUCGACACCAUCGCCGCCGACGAGAGCUUCACGCAGGGCGACCUGGGCGAGAGGAAGAUGAAGCUGAACACGGAGGUGCGGGAGAUCGGACACCUGAACCGGAAGGGCUUCCACCUGGCCUUCCAGGACGUGGGCGCCUGCGUGGCCCUGGUGGCCGUCAGGGUGUACUACAAGCGCUGCCUGGCCACCGUGCAGAACCUGGCCGUGUUCCCCGACACGGUGGCCGAGGCAGCCUUCGCCACGCUGGUGGAGGUCCGCGGAGCCUGCGUCAACAACUCAGAGGUGGACACGGACAGUCCUCCCAGGAUGCACUGCAGCGCCGAGGGAGAGUGGCUGGUUCCCAUCGGGAAGUGCAGCUGCAGCGCCGGCUACGAGGAGGGACACAGCAGCUGUGAAGCGUGUCCUCCCGGCUCUUACAAGAUGUCCUCCAGGCAGCAGGAGUGUUUUCCCUGCCCGGCCAACAGCGUGGCGGAGGAGGAAGGCUCGGUGGUGUGCAUGUGUGAGGAGGACCACUUCAGGACUCCCCUGGACAACCCCUCAGCUCCCUGCACUCGACCCCCCUCCCCUCCCAGAGACCUGGUCUACACCCUGAAGCAGUCCACCUUGAUCCUGGACUGGUCAGCUCCGUCGGACUCAGGGGGCCGGAUGGACCUGACCUACAGUGUGGGGUGUCGUCGCUGCGGGGACCGGCAGUGCGAUCCAUGCGGCGCCAGCGUCGGCUUCGUUCCCCAGCAGACGGCGCUGACAGAGAGGACGGUGACGGUGGUCAACCUCCUCCCCAACACCAACUACAGCUUCACCGUGGAGGCCCUGAACGGGGUGUCGGAGCUGUUGCCCAACAAGAGGUUCUACACUCAGGUCAACAUGUCCACCAGCCUGCCCGCUCCGUCUCUGAUCAGCGAGCUGAGAGCUGAGAAGAUCGAGCAGAAGAGCAUCACGUUGGUGUGGAGGGAACCUUUGUACCCGAACACCAGCCGGACCGAGUACGAAGUCAAAUACUACGAGAAGGAGCAGAAGGAUCAGAGUUAUUCCACAGUGAAAACUGCAGCGACUCGCAUCAGCGUCAACAAUUUGAAACCUGGAACUACUUACGUCUUCCUGAUCCGGCCGUUCUCAACGCCAGCGCCUUCCUCCUCCUUGUCUUCCUCCCAUCUCUCCUCCUCUUCAUCAUCUUCUACUUCCUCUUCGCUGUCCUCCUCUUCCUCUUCCUCUUCCUCCUCCUCGUCCUCCUCGCCGCCGCCCAUCGACUACGGAGCGUUCAGUUCCCCGCUGGAGCUGCAGACCCUCGGCGAGCUAGCCCUGGCGUCCAGUGAACAGAGUCCGGUGGUGAUCAUCGUGGUGGUUUCUGUCGCUGCCCUCAUCAUGCUGCUGUCGAUGGGAGUCGGGCUGCUCAUCUGGAGGAGACAGUGCGGCUACAGCAAAGCUUCUCAGGAGGGAGACGAGGAACUCUACUUCCAGUUUAAGAUCCCGACUCGGAGGACCUACAUCGACCCGGAGACCUGCGAGGACCUGCUGCAGGCCGUGCACGCCUUCGCCAAGGAGCUCGACAACUCCAGCAUCAAGAUCGAGAGGAUCGUGCACACCGGAGACUUUGGGGAAGUGUGCCGCGGUUGCUUGAAGCUGCCCAGUAAGAGGGAGCUGCCGGUGGCCAUAAAGACGCUGAGGGCUGGAUGUUCUGACAAACAGAGACGAUCCUUCCUCAGCGAGGCCGGAAUCCUCGGACAGUUUGACCACGCAAACAUCAUUCGGCUGGAGGGAGUCAUCACCACUGGUAACACCAUGAUGAUCAUAGAGGAGAGCAUGUCUAACGGAUCCCUGGACUCCUUCCUCAGGAAACACGAGGGUCAGCUGAGCAUGAUGCAGCUGAUGGACAUGCUGACUGGCGUGGCGUCGGGGAUGAAGUACCUCACUGAGAUGGGCUUCGUGCACAAACGUCUGGCUGCUCACAAGGUUCUGGUGAACUCCAACCUUGGCUGUAAAGUGUCCGGAUUCAGACCUCUGCAGGAGGACAAGAUAGAAGCUGUUUAUACCACACUGCACGGAGGGAAGAGCGUGGUUCUGUGGACCGCACCAGAGGCCAUCCAGUACCACCGCUUCUCCUCGGCCUCUGACGUCUGGAGCUUCGGCAUCGUGAUGUGGGAGGUGAUGUCCUAUGGAGAGAGGCCUUACUGGGACAUGGGCAACCAGGAUGUGAUAAAGGCCAUCGAGGACGGAUUCAGGCUGCCGGCACCGGUAAACUGUCCUCCUCAUCUCCAUCAGCUGAUGCUGGACUGCUGGCAGAAGGAGAGAACGGAGAGACCGAGCUUCAGCCAGAUCCACUCGGCCCUCAGCAAGAGCAUCCGCUCACCGGACGGCAUCGGUUCGUCCACGUUAGCGCGCAGAACCCUGAGCUCGUCCAUCUCACUGGCUGAAAGGCCUCUGCCCUCCUUCCCUUCCUUCAGCUCGGUGGGAGAAUGGCUGGACGCCGUGGAUAUGGGCCGCUACAAGGACAACUUCACGGCUGCAGGAUACUGUUACCUGGAGUCUGUAGCUCGAAUGACUGUACAGUAAGUUUACGUUUACUGUGGUAAAGCAGGAAACAGCUGAAGAGAAAACUACGCAAACAUCUAUUUUCACCUCUGCUUUAGAUGCUGAAAGUACAUUUUGCACAAAACAACACAUACAUUUACUUAAAUAGCAUUUUUAAUGCAGAAUUUGUAUUUGUACUGGAGUACUUUUACCCAGCUAAAGUAUCUUAGUACUUCUUGUGCUGCAGAUAAUGUAGUAGAGAAUCAAAGUGCAGUUCACUGGAUUCUGCUAGCUUUAAUUUAUCCAAGUGGAUGUUUUCCUUUUAUUAUUAAACCAAAACAAUGAAUUUAUCACUAAUUACAUCAUCAGAAUGUUAACCAGCCACAAUUAUUCAUCAAUAUAGUUAUCAGUUUAAAAGGAGGAAAUACUCCCAGCAGAGUGGAAGUUAUCACUUGAUAUUAAUACUUGAGGCAAAAGCAUCAUUCCAUAUAAAAAAAUCUACCAAAUCUGAGGACAGAUGGAAAAAUAUCCUUGAAGAUAAACUAAAAAAUCAGUGAAACACAGAGUCAGCAUGAGAAAUAUAGGAGUCAUAGUACCACUAAUCAGGAGGUCUAGAAGGAGUCAUAGUUCCAAUAAUCAGGAGGUCUAGAAGGAGUCAUAGUACCACUAAUCAGGAGGUAUAGAAGGAGUCAUAGUACCACUGAUCAGGAGGUAUAGAAGGAGUCAUAGUACCACUGAUCAGGAGGUCUAGAAGGAGUCAUAGUACCACUGAUCAGGAGGUAUAGAAGGAGUCAUAGUACCACUGAUCAGGAGGUAUAGAAGGAGUCAUAGUACCACUGAUCAGGAGGUAUAGAAGGAGUCAUAGUACCACUGAUCAGGAGGUAUAGAAGGAGUCAUAGUACCACUGAUCAGGAGGUCUAGAAGGAGUCAUAGUACCACUGAUCAGGAGGUAUAGAAGGAGUCAUAGUACCACUAAUCAGGAGGUAUAGAAGGAGUCAUAGUACCACUGAUCAGGAGGUAUAGAAGGAGUCAUAGUACCACUAAUCAGGAGGUCUAGAAGGAGUCAUAGUACGACUAAUCAGGAGGUCUAGAAGGAGUCACAGUACCACUAAUCAGGAGGUCUAGAAGGAGUCAUAGUACGACUAAUCAGGAGGUCUAGAAGGAGUCAUAGUACCACUGAUCAGGAGGUCUAGAAGGAGUCACAGUACCACUAAUCAGGAGGUAUAGAAGGAGUCAUAGUACCACUGAUCAGGAGGUAUAGAAGGAGUCAUAGUACCACUGAUCAGGAGGUCUAGAAGGAGUCAUAGUACCACUAAUCAGGAGGUCUAGAAGGAGUCAUAGUACCACUAAUCAGGAGGUCUAGAAGGAGUCAUAGUUCCAAUAAUCAGGAGGUAUAGAAGGAGUCAUAGUACCACUGAUCAGGAGGUAUAGAAGGAGUCAUAGUACCACUGAUCAGGAGGUCUAGAAGGAGUCAUAGUACCACUAAUCAGGAGGUCUAGAAGGAGUCAUAGUACCACUGAUCAGGAGGUAUAGAAGGAGUCAUAGUACCACUGAUCAGGAGGUCUAGAAGGAGUCAUAGUUCCAAUAAUCAGGAGGUAUAGAAGGAGUCAUAGUACCACUGAUCAGGAGGUCUAGAAGGAGUCAUAGUUCCAAUAAUCAGGAGGUCUAGAAGGAGUCACAGUACCACUAAUCAGGAGGUAUAGAAGGAGUAAUAGUACCACUAAUCAGGAGGUACAGGAGGAGUCACAGUAACACUAAUCAGAGCUGUCAUCUGAUCUUGGUUCCUGUUCUUGUGUCCACAGAGAUGUUCUGAGUCUGGGCAUCACCUCUCUGGACCACCAGAAGCUGAUCUUGGCCGCCAUCCAGACGUUGCGAGCGCAGGUCAUCCAGAUGCACGGCCGCGGCGUGCAGGUCUGAGCCCCGCUGCUGCGGCUUCAGAACCGACGUGUGCAGGAGGAUGACGGGUGGAGAUGGGAAGAUCUUCCAGACUGAAAGAGAGUCCAUCUUUCAGCCGACUGCACUCCUAUUCACUCCUCACGCCUUCCUCCACUCCUUCCUUCCUUCCAUGGCGGCAGCGGCGGCGUGGGAAGCAGAGAAUUGAUGUCAUGCGACUCUUAAUGCGACCUCUUUCUGCACUGUGAACUUCAGCGACUGUGUCGGCCGCUUCUGGAAGACGAACGAGAUGUUUCCUCUACUUGGAGACCUGUUUUUGGGUGGAAUUUCCCUUUACAGCAACUAAAUAAACACAAUAUAUUGGCAACGACAGGAACUUCUCUCACCGGCCUUCAAAUCGAACAUCUCCUCCAGGAACUGCUCCACCAGAGUCCAUCGUCUCUCUGAGGAACAUUUAUGGGUUUCUUGGAGGAAUGUGAGCUGUGAGGACGGAGCUGUCGGAUUUAUUUAAAGAUGCUCCUGGUGGAUAAAACUGCUCUUUCAGGAAUAUCAACCUGCUUUUCCCCCUUUUCUGGGGCAACAAACGGAUAAUUGUAAAGCAAAAAGGGUUGAUUUUGAUUGUUUUGCUCCUCGUCAUGUUUUUUUUUAUUCCUUUAUGCUUUGUGUUUGUUUUUUCACCACAAUCCUCCGGUUUUAUGGCUCUGUGUAGAUGUCGGACCACCUCUGGAAGAUAGUCCGUUUAAAUAUUUAUCCAUAUUUAUUUCUGUUUACAGAUGAACCUCCGCAGAUGAAGUGGAGGUCAGGAAGGUUUAUUUAACUAUUUAAAUGUGAAGCAUUUUGUUGAUUAUGAGCUGUGAGUUUCUACCUGAACAGAUUAGUUGUUUGUUUUUUUAGAGAAUUUUUACCGUCGGCACACAGUAUCUGUGUAUUUUGAAACACUGGAUUCAUUUUUCUUUGAUCAUUGUGAACAUUUAUGGCUUUGGAGUUUGUUUUUUGGUUACUUUUUGUUUAUGUUGUUCAUUUGGAGUUGCUGGGUAAUCUGUGGUUCUCCCAGAAUUCUCUCUGUACAGCGAUCAGAAUCCACUUUUUCUGUCAUCAUAUUUCCCCCACAGGAAGAAGCUGCAGACUUUCACAAUAAAUUUCUGGACUGUAUGUUUUUUUUCCCCCUCUGUAAACGUUCUGUCAAAUGAAAUAAACUGAUUCUGGGUGUUUCCACGCACACGUUAACAUAUCCGAUGGUCACAUGAACCAAACUGGACCUCGACACCACUUUGAAUGAAACCCUGCUCUGUCUGUCGCUGUGACCGUUUCAUGUUUAAUACUGUAAAUAUGUAUUUGAAAAUGCUAAAUCUAUUUUUAUAAUUUGUUUGGAGAACAACGUGUUGAAUAUAAUAUCUGCUCACUGUGUAAGGGUUUUAUUUGUUUGAAUAUGGGGGCCACGGCCGAGAAACUCUGGUGUUUGGAAUAGAAAAAGUUUAAUUGUCUUUUGUUAGUUUUUGAUGAUUUUUACCCAUAAGAAGAAAAAUCUGAAAAUCUGAUGGCUGUUGCAAUAUUAAAAUGUUAUUAAAAAAACUCCAAUACA